UAUCACCUACGGCGCGCAGCAGUGGGGAAUAUUGCACAAUGGGGGAAACCCUGAUGCAGCGACGCCGCGUGAAGGAUGAAGUAUUUCGGUAUGUAAACUUCUAUCAGCAGGGAAGAAAAUGACGGUACCUGACCAAGAAGCCCCGGCUAACUACGUGCCAGCAGCCGCGGUAAUACGUAGGGGGCAGGCGUUAUCCGGAUUUACUGGGUGUAAAGGGAGCGUAGACGGUAUGGCAAGUCUGAUGUGAAAACCCGGGGCUCAACCCCGGGACUGCAUUGGAAACUGCCGAACUAGAGUGUCGGAGG
rnacentral:rRNA from 1 species